rnacentral:lncRNA from 1 species
AUGUGUUGUUUCCAUGGAUGCCAGAAUCUAUGUGGGUGGUUCCCAGAGAUUUCAGGUCCUGCUCAUAUGUUGUUUCCUGGGAGGUCAGGAUUCUCAUGUAUUUUGUCUUCUGAGAGUUCAGAUCUUUGUUGUUCCGUGGGACGCUGUGGUGCACAUGUGUUGUUUGCAUCGAGGUCAGGGUCUACAUGUGUUUUGAUGCCUGGGAGGCCGGAAUCUGUGUGUUUUGUUUCCUCAGAUGCUACAGGUUGUGUUUCUGUUGUUUCCUUGCAGGCCAGGGUCUGCGUUUUAUCUCCUGGGAGGUCAGGGUCUUCAUGUGUUGUCUCUGGAAUGCCAGGGUCUGCACAUGUGUUGUCUCCUGGAAUGUCAGGGACUAUGUGUUUCUGGGGAAGACAGAGUCUGUGGGCCUGUGUCAUUUCCUGGGAGGUGAGAUGUAUGUGUGUUCUGAGGCCUGAACCUGUGUUUGUUGUUUCCUGGUCAGUCAGGGUUUUGUGUAUUGUUUCCUGGGAUAUUGGUGUCUGUGCAUAAGUGUCUUCUGGGAGUUCAUGGUCUACGUGUAAUUACUACAUAAGUCCUGUAGGUAAUAAUGCUGAGCUGCAGACAGAAUAAUUGCUGAGAGACUAGAUUUUAGGCACUCUUACCACAGAAGAAAAAGUAACUGUACGAUGAUGGGCAUGUUCAUUUGCUUGACUGUAGUAGUGAGUUCAUUAUACUUGUAAGCAUAUCAAAAUGAUAUGUUGUAUGCCUUAAGUAAAUACUAUUUUUUAAAGGAGCCCAUAACAUCUGACAUCCACAGACUUUUUUAUAUGGAAAAAUAUAGAUGGGGUGGUAACUGUAACCCAGAGCAGAAGGGAGAGAAACAAAUGUUAUUUUCCUCAAAUACUGAAAUGCGAGCUGAUUGGCCUCAAUCAUUGCUCUCUUGUUAUGGAAACAUGUAGAAAGCAUGGCUAACGGCAAACUGGGAGCGAAUCAGGGUUCUUGUUCCGCAAGCUGUUCCGCAGCUAUGGUUUACAUGCAUUCCCCAAAGCUCAUGUUAGAAACUUAGUCCGCAGUGCAGCAGUGUUGAUAGAUGGAAGUUUUAAGAGGUGAUUAGGUCGAGAGGGCCCCAUGUUGCUCCCUCUUGCUCAUGUAACAACCUUUCACCAUGUGGAGACACAGCAAAACAGGCCCUCACCACAUGCGGUCAUUGAUCUUGGGCUUCUUAGGCUCCCGAAACUCUAAGCCAAUAAACUUCCAUUCUUGAUAAAUUUCCCA